UGGGGGAUAUUGCACAAUGGGCGAAAGCCUGAUGCAGCGACGCCGCGUGGGGGAUGAAGGCUUUCGGGUUGUAAACCUCUUUCGCUAUCGAACAAGGCCCGCUUAGGGUGGGUUGAGGGUAGGUGGAGAAGAAGCGCCGGCUAACUACGUGCCAGCAGCCGCGGUAAUACGUAGGGCGCGAGCGUUGUCCGGAAUUAUUGGGCGUAAAGGGCUUGUAGGCGGCUUGUUGCGCCUGCUGUGAAAACGCGGGGCUUAACUUCGCGCGUGCAGUCGGUACGGGCAGGCUUGAGUGUGGUAGGGGUGACUGGAAUUCCAGGUGUAGCGGUGGAAUGCGCAGAUAUCUGGAGGAACACCGAUGGCGAAGGCAGGUCACUGGGCCAUUACUGACGCUGAGGAGCGAAAGCAUGGGUAGCGAACAGG
rnacentral:rRNA from 1 species